GCACGCAGGAAGGACCCACAUUUCUGGAUUUUUUAAAGGAUGAAAGUAAAAGUUUCAUCUAGAGUUAGAUGCAACAGAAUAAGAUUGUAUACCUGUUUUACUGAUAUAUGAGAGAGACUUGAAGAAGGUGACCACUGCAGAGAUUGAAUCAGCAUCCUCAGCAACUUUGAAACCUUGACCUGUCAGAGGAGCUGUCAGAGGCAAGACAGAGAGGCAAACACAUUGGUUAAUCCUACUCUUUUAAGGAAUUUGCACCCUGGUUCUUGAUAGCAGCUCGGGCUUUUUGUGUGAAUUGAUGAAGAUGAUGGAUUUGCAAAUGGACCUGUGGAAGCCACUGGGAAUUGAAUAGGUGGACUGGAAAGACGCAGGAAGAUUACAGUCCAGAGGUUCCACUAAUUUCAGCCACCAAAGAUCUCUGCUAAUUACCCUUGUGGAAAGCUGAUAGCAUUAGCAAUAGCCUUUAUGUGGUCCAGUGCUAGGAAGCUGUGCCAGCAGCCGUCACAGCUAUUUGCUGACGGGGGAGGCACCGGAGAAGGGAAACGUGCUGCCGUAGGCAAAGACAGGCUCGUCUCAUUCCUCUUUGCAGCAAAUGAUCUGUGGACAACCAGCUCCCCCACUUUGCACCCUGCCUCCGUCUGAAGCAGGUAGCUUUCUCCUGCGUGCCACUGAGAGCACUGUGGUGGCUCUGCUGCCGGCCCCGGUGACUGGUCCCAGGGAACAGCAGCAGCCCCAGGGGCAGCAGUUGCUGGGCCAUCCUGCUGGCCUCAGCAGGGACCGUGCCUGGAAAGGACAGGCUCUCUGAGGACUUUAAUUGCUUUCCUGUGCUAAGCAUGUUCAAACUGUGAUCUCAUGAAGGCUUAUGAUGUGGACAAAUUUGGGCUGAUUUUCACUGGAGUUGCAAAUGACCUGUUAUAAUUUCAAGAAGAUGAAGCAAGGCUAUACAUUUUUUCCUCAGAGUUGUUCUCAGAAAAAACCAAAACAGUCUGGAGUUGGAUUUUCCCUGAAUAUUUAGCCUGCAGGGAAAUCUGCCUAGAAAACUUCAACCCAACAGGUUAAAGUGGGGCAAAAUUAUUAGCAGAUAAGCAGGGAAAUUGUGGGCAACUUUACUUUUGAGUAGUACUAAUAGUGGCCUUGCUGCUGAUAAGAAGGCAUAUAUAUGCAUGCAUCGACACAUAGAAUAUGUGCGCAUACAAGAGCACAGUAAUUAGCAGGCCACUGAAUGCCCUCUCCUUUGUUUUACUUGCUCUCCACUGUCGAGCUUAAUCUUGCAGACAGUUUGCUUUAAUUCUGAACUGAUGGAAACAGCAGGAGUUUGUAUAAAAUUGGUGUAAGUUUUCAGCUGCUGAGAGCAGAAAGCAUCGCAAGGCAAUGCUGAAUAAAUCCAGAAGAAUGCCACAAUGUUAAUUGUGCGUCGUGCUGAGCCCACCUACUGCAGCAGAAGGCGCCUCCCACCCAAGUGAUGGAUGGGAUUCUCAACAGGCUAGGACCUCCGCAUGUCUCACCUCUGCAGAAUUACUUAAAGCAUAGAGUUGUGGCCUAAUUUAAAUUAAUUGCAUUUAAAUGGUAAACAGAGAUCAUACAAACAACUAAAUAUCGACGCGAAAGAAGUCUGUAGUCAUUCAUCUUUUGGAUCUGGGGUAACACCUUCAGAGGAAAAGUCAUGAAGCGUGGGGGAAAUAAUCGUUUGCCUAUGUAAAAGAAAAGGUGCUAGACUUUUUAAAAAGUGAUCUGCCAGACAUUUUGUAUAUUAAUUAUAUCUUUUAAUCUAAAUGAGGUCAAUGCAUGUAUCAGUAAGGGCUCAAUUUUACAAGGAGUGUGAAACAAUAAUUUAAUAUUCCUGAGAUAUGUUAUCCACUCCAGUCCCAUGGUUUUAUAUGUGUGUAAAAUUCAAUGGAAACCAUCUUAACUGUUUUCCUUCUUAUUAAACAGUCUUCUAAAAUCUAUAAUUCAGUGAGACAUUAAGCAGUUGGCAUUUGUUUCUACACAAUCCAAUUUCACCAAGCCCCACUGUGAAUUCAGCAGGGCAUUCUGUACUAGCCGGUUCUUGUUAUCAGUAACUCUACAUGAAAGAACUUGCAUUUUCCUACUAACAGAACAAACCAAAGAAUAAUGAAGUUGUUCAUUAUUUUAAAACAUUCUUCUGGAUUGCAGCCUUGAGAUUUUAAUGAAAAGAACUGUUGAGAUGCUCUUGAAUCCAAGUAUCUCUUACUGGUUGGUGCCUGUAUGAUUUUAUGUCCCACAGAUGAACGUACACGAGUUACAGUAACAUUUGGAUAUCAGCAGAAUAACAACACAAAAUUUCAAUAGGGAAUCUCAAAUAUUCAAUGAACUGUGUGUAUAUUAGUAAAUUAUGAGUUAAAAAGCCAGCAUAGACCCAUCUUUCUGAAGAUGACAAGUAACAGAGGCUGAAAACACAGGGUGAAAAAAUCAGAUCCUGACACCGCAUCUCCCCUUAUCUUUCUAGUAUGAUCUGUGCCUUUUAGGAGCCUUAUUUCUCCAGAAUGAUAACAGUUUUUGCCCUUCACACAGCUUAUUGACUGAUAAGCUUGUCAGCUGCAUUCCUAUUACAGAUAUUUACCUCAAAGGCCUCUUUGGAUUUACAAUAUACCAAGGUCCCUAUUGCUCCUUUGUCACCACUUGUGAGUUUGCGUGGUGCAUACCACAACCGCCCCUGCUUAAACCCAGUGCUGGGCUUGAAGAACCCUUUUUUGUUAAGUAAAAUGAACAGUGUUGCUUUAGAGAUGACCAAAGUGUGAUGGACAUGGUGGGUAGCA